rnacentral:tRNA from 1 species
GCCUGAGUGGCUGAAUUGGUUAAGCAUCUGACUUUGGCUCAGGUCAUGAUCUCAUGGCUCAUGAAUUUGAGUCCCGUGUCAGGCU